UACAAAAUAAGAAAAUGGACAAAUACAUCUAAAUCUAAUAUCGAUUACCAGAUAAUACUCAAUCACAUACUUUAUUAAACCACCACAUAAGAAACUGUAAGGACAAACAUAAUAAAGUAGAACAACAUAUUGGCUCUUUUGUGUAGUGGU